CAUUACCGAAAUUGAUAUUCAUCUAUUUCUGUGAAUUUUUACAAAUUGCUUUGGUGCGCUAGUAAUAUAGGGCGCCAAAAAUCAACUUCUAACAACUUUUGUCAAACCAAAACAAAUUAAUAAAUUAAAACUUUCAACAACGGAUCUCUUGGUUCUCGCAUCGAUGAAGAACGCAGCGAAAUGCGAUACGUAAUGUGAAUUGCAGAAUUUUGUGAAUCAUCGAAUCUUUGAACGCACAUUGCGCCUUCUGGUAUUCCAGAAGGCAUGCCUGUUUGAGCGUCAUUUCUCUCUCACAAACGUGGUUUUGUUGUAUCUCUUUUUUUACAAAAGAGUGCAAUGAAAGGAAAUGGCAGUACUUCGGAGUUGCUUACAGUGUUUUAGGUUUUACCAACUACACUUCUACGGGCACUCUAGUAAGUCGGCUUGAAAACCCCUUUUUUCAAUGUUGACCUCAAAUCAG
rnacentral:rRNA from 1 species